rnacentral:rRNA from 1 species
GACGAGCGCUGGCGGCGUGCUUAACACAUGCAAGUCGAACGGUGAAGCGCCUUCCUUUUUGGUGGGUGUGGAUGAGUGGCGAACGGGUGAGUAACACGUGAGUAACCUGCCCCCUUCUUCUGGAUAACCGCAUGAAAGUGUGGCUAAUACGGGAUAUUCUGGGUCUGUCGCAUGAUGGGUCUGGGAAAGAUAUUGUUUCGGUGGGGGAUGGGCUCGCGGCCUAUCAGCUUGUUGGUGGGGUGAUGGCCUACCAAGGCGGUGACGGGUAGCCGGCCUGAGAGGGUGGACGGUCACACUGGGACUGAGACACGGCCCAGACUCCUACGGGAGGCAGCAGUGGGGAAUAUUGCACAAUGGGCGCAAGCCUGAUGCAGCGACGCCGCGUGAGGGAUGGAGGCCUUCGGGUUGUGAACCUCUUUCGCCAGUGAAGCAGGCCUGCCUCGUUUGUGGGUGGGUUGACGGUAGCUAGAUAAGAAGCGCCGGCUAACUACGUG